rnacentral:rRNA from 1 species
UGGGGAAUAUUGGACAAUGGGCGCAAGCCUGAUCCAGCCAUGCCGCGUGAGUGACGAAGGCCUUAGGGUUGUAAAGCUCUUUUGGCGGGGAAGAUAAUGACGGUACCCGCAGAAUAAGCUCCGGCUAACUUCGUGCCAGCAGCCGCGGUAAUACGAAGGGAGCUAGCGUUGUUCGGAAUCACUGGGCGUAAAGCGCACGUAGGUGGGCAGUUAAGUCAGGGGUGAAAGCCCGAGGCUCAACCUCGGAAUUGCCUCUGAUACUGGCUGUCUAGAGUUCGAGAGAGGUGAGUGGAAUUCCUAGUGUAGAGGUGAAAUUCGUAGAUAUUAGGAAGAACACCGGUGGCGAAGGCGGCCACCUGGUUGGAUACUGACGCUGAGACGCGAAAGCGUGGGGAGCAAACAGGAUUAGAUACCCAUGUAGUCCCUGAGCGGGCUGGCAAGGCGCAU